rnacentral:lncRNA from 1 species
UGGAGAUACAAUUUGGAGCAUUGGGAAGGAGACCAAAUAAAUUCAAGACUCUCUGAAUAGAGAUUUUAAAUUUACUUAUAUUGUAAUUUAAUUGUUUAAACUUUUUGGACAAUCUUUUACAAAUUGGACCAUUGUUAAAAAUUUAUGAUAGGCCCAAAGUUGUAGGACACUUAUCACCCUAGGGUUUUAGGAUGGACCCCACCCAUUUUAAGACACACAACCCUAGAGAGGGAACAUUCCCUUUUUUCAGCCGUCGUUAUUUUUGGGAUUCACUCUCGGCAGGUUGGGAGAGGGCUGUCACACUUGGCUUUGAAAGUGGUUGGAAGAAGUUUUUGUGGAAAACAAUGUUUAUGUUUUUAGAUGGUGGUUGAAUAAAAGAAGUUUUUUUUUUUUUAGCUGGAACCUUUUCUUUGCUUGCCGAAAACGCACUUGUAUGCUGGUUAUAUUUUGUGGCAUGGAAGAAUCAUAGUUUGGCCCUUCAUUUUGGUUCUUUUGUGCAUUUUUAAGUGAAGAUUUAUAUUGUUUUUUUGUGGUGGAAUGGGAUAAAGGAAUCCAUCCAGCGUCACACACCCUUUUCUUUUUUUUCUUUUUUUUUUCUUUUACUUUGCAAGUUCUGGAGAAGCAUCCUUUGCUAUUUCAUUUUAGGUUUGCACGCACCUUUUAAUUGAAGCAAGAAGAGUCAGCAAUGCAUUGUUUGGUAUCACAUUACAGCCACGGUUCAUAUUUCAUUUUCUCAUUCUUUUCGGAAACUGAAACGCUGAUGCAGCAUGGAGGGCACAUUCUCAUUUUUAUUUUCAUUUGCAUUGCAAUCAAUUUUUUUUAGAAUGGAGUAAUUUAUUUUGCUUUUAUUUUGUUGACCUUGGGAAUGCAAAGAGAAAAAGCUUAUUAAUUUUGAUAGAAAGAAAUGUAGUACGGUGACAGGGAGUAGUCUUGUCACAUUUUGCAAGGAAGAGAGUUGCACCUAAAUUUUAGUGUGAAUGAAGAAUUCAUUAGGAGUUGGUGUGCAGGGAUAUUCAAGUCCUGGCAGAGGGAGGCACGGUCCAGCCACAUGCUUAGUUUUUUUUUUAUCUUUGAAUUUUUAUUUUUUUUUUAAUGAAAAAAGGUGCAGCGUGAAGAGGUUGGGGGCAACUAUCACUUCAAAUGCACUCUGUUUUUGCUUACUUGAAUUUAGAGAAUGAGACAUUACUUUUUUUUUUGCUGGAUUAUGAUGGUGAUUAAUUUUAUUUUGCAGGAGGUGUACUUAGGUCACGGUUAGCAAUAGAAAAAGGUUUAUGUUUUCUAUUUAUUUUGCCUUAGAAUAUUUUACAUUAUAGGUUGAGUUGUUUCUAAUCUUUUUGAUUUAGCAUUGCAUUUUAAUGGCUUUAAUUGUGGUUAGAUAUUUUUUUGCUCUAGUAUUGGGUUUAGCGUUUUCACUCUCUUUAAUGUUUUCUAUCAUGUUCGAAUGUGUUUAAUUUUUAUUUUUAAUUUCGUCAGUUGCAUUCAUAAACAAAACUUUUCACCAAAACCCCCCACUUUGUGUUAGACCUGAUUCUCGAACCACAGUUUGGUCCUUGAGAGACGACCUAGGAGUCACUUCCUAGUACUAUACUGCACUCCUAAAUGCAAUCAAAUUUGUAUGGGCCGCGACACCCAUCAGUGGUCUUAUUCAUUUUAUAUUUUGUUCUCUUGAUUGUAAUCUGUAAAAAUUUUUUUAAUGGAACUGUUAAUCACUCUUUACAGUGAUUAACGACUGGACCUAGAUUCUGUUGA